AUUGAACGCUGGCGGCAGGCCUAACACAUGCAAGUCGAGCGGAGCGGCUGACGGGUGGGUAAUGCCUAGGAAUCUGCCUGGUAGCGGGGGAUAACGUCCGGAAACGGGCGCUAAUACCGCAUCCUAUCAGCUUAGCCUUGGUCGGAUUCGCUAGUUGGUGGGGUAAAGGCUUACCAAGGCGACGAUCCGUAACUGGUCUGAGAGGAUGAUCAGUCACACUGGAACUGAGACACGGCCAAGACUCCUACGGGAGGAAGCAGAGGGGAAUAUUGGACAAGGGGCGAAAGCCUGAUGCAGCCAUGCGGCGGGUGUGAGGAAGGUCUCCGGAUUGUAAAGCACUUUAAGUGGGGAGGCGGUACCAAAAGAAUAAGCGCCGGAUAACUGCGUGCCAGCCGCCGCGGUAAUUC
rnacentral:rRNA from 1 species